rnacentral:rRNA from 1 species
UACGGAGGAUGCGAGCGUUAUCCGGAUUUAUUGGGUUUAAAGGGUGCGCAGGCGGCGUGUCAAGCAAGCGGUAAAAUAGCGGGGCUCAACCCCGUCGAGCCGUUUGAACUGGCGCGCUUGAGUUCAGGCGAGGUAGGCGGAAUUCGUGGUGUAGCGGUGAAAUGCAUAGAUAUCACGAAGAACUCCGAUUGCGAAGGCAGCGUACCGGCGCCCAACUGACGCUGAAGCACGAAGGCGUGGGUAUCGAACAGG